rnacentral:rRNA from 1 species
AGAGUUUGAUCCUGGCUCAGGACGAACGCUGGCGGCGUGCUUAACACAUGCAAGUCGAACGGAAAGGCCCUUCGGGGUACUCGAGUGGCGAACGGGUGAGUAACACGUGGGUGAUCUGCCCUGCACUUUGGGAUAAGCCUGGGAAACUGGGUCUAAUACCGAAUAUGACCAUGCGCCUCCUGGUGUGUGGUGGAAAGCUUUUGCGGUGUGGGAUGGGCCCGCGGCCUAUCUGCUUGUUGGUGGGGUAAUGGCCUACCAAGGCGACGACGGGUAGCCGGCCUGAGAGGGUGACCGGCCACACUGGGACUGAGAUACGGCCCAGACUCCUACGGGAGGCAGCAGUGGGGAAUAUUGCACAAUGGGCGCAAGCCUGAUGCAGCGACGCCGCGUGAGGGAUGACGGCCUUCGGGUUGUAAACCUCUUUCAGCACAGACGAAGCGCAAGUGACGGUAUGUGCAGAAGAAGGACCGGCCAACUACGUGCCAGCAGCCGCGGUAAUACGUAGGGUCCGAGCGUUGUCCGGAAUUACUGGGCGUAAAGAGCUCGUAGGUGGUUUGUCGCGUUGUUCGUGAAAACUCACAGCUUAACUGUGGGCGUGCGGGCGAUACGGGCAGACUUGAGUACUGCAGGGGAGACUGGAAUUCCUGGUGUAGCGGUGGAAUGCGCAGAUAUCAGGAGGAACACCGGUGGCGAAGGCGGGUCUCUGGGCAGUAACUGACGCUGAGGAGCGAAAGCGUGGGGAGCGAACAGGAUUAGAUACCCUGGUAGUCC